rnacentral:rRNA from 1 species
AUUCCAGCUCCAAUAGCGUAUAUUAAAGUUGUUGCGGUUAAAAAGCUCGUAGUUGGAUUUCUGCCGAGGACGACCGGUCCGCCCUCUGGGUGAGCAUCUGGCUCGGCCUGGGCAUCCUCUUGGAGAACGUAGCUGCACUUGACUGUGUGGGGCGGUAUCCAGGACUUUUACUUUGAGGAAAUUAGAGUGUUUCAAGCAGGCAUACGCCUUGAAUACAUUAGCAUGGAAUAAUAAGAUAGGAUCUUGGUACUAUUUUGUUGGUUUGCGUGUCGAGAUAAUGAUGAAUAGGGACAGUUGGGGAUAUUUGUAUUCCAUAGUCAGAGGUGAAAUUCUUGGAUUUAUGGAAGACAAACUAAUGCGAAAGCAUCUACCAAGGAUGUUUUCAUCG